UCUAUGAUUAUCGUUCGUGCAAAUGGUGGCGCUGUUUGGAUAAUUUGAAAACAACACGAUUGGCAAUUUAUUUGGAUUUCGAAGAUCCUGGUCCUAGCUGAAAUUUAGAGUAUUGCAGCUGUAGCCUGUACACCAAACAUUCAACAUGAAAAGGACUGUCAGGAUGCUGCAUAAAAUGGUCUUAGCUAGAGCCUAGAAUGUUAAUUACUUGGAAAUAUGCUGCAAGGAACUGACGGGGAGCAUUUUUUUAACCAAUCAUAG